rnacentral:rRNA from 1 species
UCUUGUCCACACCGCCCGUCACACCCUGGGCGUGGGUAGCUCCAGAAGUAGAUAGCUGAACGAAUGGGCGUUUACCACGGAGUGAUUCAUGACUGGGGUGAAGUCGUAACAAGGUAGCCGUAGGGGAACCUGCGUCUGGAUCACCUCCUUA